rnacentral:rRNA from 1 species
UAGCCUAACGGCUGAACCAGCAACUUGGAGGAAUGUAUAGCAAUAGCUAGUUGCAUCAUUGUAUAGAUGGUGCAAGAUUGACUAUGUUGAAUAAAAUUCUAGGUAGAAUUAUGAUAAUGACAUUGUCUGCCUAUGUGUCUUGACCAAAUUACGUGCCAGCAGUCGCGGUAAUACGUAGAAGACUAGUGUUAUUCAUGUUUAAUCGGUUUAAAGGGUACCUAGACGGCAGAUCAAGCUUUCCGAGCAGAAGAAAAGUAAAAAGGACUAAUUUGCUAGAGUUACUUACGAGGGGGUUUUAAAGUACUGCUGGUGUAGAGAUGAAAUUCUAUCAUACCUAAAUUAAAAAAUAAUGGCACAGGUAUAGGCGAAGGCAUCCCCUUAUGUGAUAACUGACGUUGAGGGACGAAGGCUUUAUACAACGAACGGGAUUAGAUACCCCAUUAGUGGAAGCAGUAAAUGAUGAAUGUCAUAGAUUAGCUAGAUAGGUUCAUUCUAUAAAUGAAAGUGUAAGCAUUCCACCUCAUGAGUAAUAUGGCAACAUUGGAAUUGAAAUCAUUAGACCGUAUCUGAAACCAGUAGUGAAGUAUGUUGUUUAAUUUGAUGAUCCGCAAAAAACCUUACCACAAUUUGAAUAUUUAUAUUUUUUAUUAUUGUUUUGUUAUUAUUUUUCUUCUCUUUACACUUAUAUGGAGAUAACAUAACAUAUAAGAAAAGAGGAGAUAAAUUAAUAAAGAGGCAAUAACAUAUAUUUACAAGCGUUGCACGCCUGUCUUCAGUUAAUGUCGCGAGACUUUGGUUAGAUCCAUUAAAUUAACGUAAACCCUUACUUUAUUUUUAGAUAGAGUUGUUCCCCACUAUAU